rnacentral:rRNA from 1 species
UUAAUUGAAGAGUUUGAUCAUGGCUCAGAUUGAACGCUGGCGGCAGGCCUAACACAUGCAAGUCGAGCGGCAGCACAGAGGAACUUGUUCCUUGGGUGGCGAGCGGCGGACGGGUGAGUAAUGCCUGGGAAAUUGCCCGGUAGAGGGGGGAUAACCAUUGGAAACGAUGGCUAAUACCGCAUAACCU